rnacentral:lncRNA from 1 species
GUCAGGAGCCUUUGUUAGUCUUGUAUUAUUUUUAAUUUUAAUUUCUUGUGUACAAUUUGAAGUUUAGUAUGGCGUUCAUUAUGACUGAACUGGUAUACUCAUGUGUUUAGGGGCCGACAGAAGGACGCCUCCGGAUGUGGGAAUUUCUCGCUGUAUUGAAGACCUGUUGGUGACCUUCUGCUGUUGUCUGUUCUAUGGUCGGGUUGUUGUCUCUUUGACACAUUCCCCAUUUCCAUUCUCAAUUUUAUUAAGUGUCUUUUUGUUGUUGGGAUGUACAAUCACCCGGCCAAGUCCACUCUGUUUUUUUUUUUUUUUUUUUUGUUUUGUGUUAGAUGUAUUUCUAUUUGCAUCCAUCUGAUGAGCCUUUUUCAACUGAUUUUUAUUGUUUGUUCUUUCUAUGUUGUACUGUUGCACCACUGUCAAAGCCGUUUGACCUUUUAUAGGUCAGCCUAGUGACCAUGCGGUAUGGGCUUUUUUCAUUGUUGAAAGCCGUGUAGUAACCUAUAGCUGUUAUUUUUAUUUGGUCUCUUGUGAAGAGUUGUUUCAUUGGCCAUUAUACCACAUUUUCUUUCUUUAAACAAUGCACAAAAACUUAAUAUUGACCAACGAAUCAUGAAAAUGAGGUCAAGGUUAGAUAAAACCGCAAGACUGACAUGUACCCAUUAUAGUAAUUCC